AUGUCAGCGAUUUCAUUGAUAUUUCACAGCUUUUCCCUCAGUAGUUAGAAGAGAUCUGGCACAUAGUAGGUAUUCAAUAAAUAUUUAUUAAGACUAGGCAUGGUGGCUCACGCCUGUAAUCCUAGCACUUUGGAAGGCUGAGGUGGGAGGAUUGCAUGAGGUCAGUUCAGCGGUUCAAAACCAGCCUUGGCAACAUAGCAACCCCUUGUCUCUACAAAAAAAGAGAAAAGAAAUAAUAAAGUAAAAUAAAAUAAAUUGGCCCCUCAUAAAAAUUUGCUCUGAAAGAAGCAAACCUUUUCAAGGUCACCUGGAGUUAAAGGAGGGACAGUUUUUAGCCCGUUUUCUUCUUGGGACUUUACUGGAAUUGAAUGGUAUUGUAGGUUAAGUGGAAGUCUUCAUUGGCUGAUUCGUCAUGAAAAUUAGAUCCCAGAGGAGUGAUGAUUGAUAUUAGUCACUAGGGAGAGAUAAUCCGGCCAAUGGAAAUGACAGUGAUGACAUCACAAAUGACUCUGUUUGCCUAAUGCCACUGGAAACAGCAGGAAGGAGACUUGAAGCAAAGCCAUCAAUUUCCACAGAAAGGGGAAACCCACACCCAAAUGGUAGGGAGGGCCCAGGAGCCAGAAUUCAAGUGAAUAGUUUCCUGAGUGGUCAGCAGCGUCAGGUGAUUUGGGGAACAGAUAAGCCCCUGGUACUUGGUAGCACUGCAUUCUGGAACAGUGGAUAAUACCAUAUUCAGUCCCCCUGACAACCCCAUGAAACAGAACAAAAUGGUGGCUGAGGUAGAGAAAUGACUUGUUCUCUGACUGGUGACUUUGGUCCCUGCAUCGAGGAGUGGCAGAGGUCUCAAAAAAAAAAAAAAAAAAAAAAAGAAACCUGACAAAAUUCGAGACCCUCUCCUCCACACUGACCAGGUGAAAACGGAAAGGAACCAUCUAGAGACAGUAAAUAAAUGAAAUAUCAGGCACUUGUUAAACAAAACAAAACAAAACAAAAAAAAGGAAGACCCGUAUGUUUAGCAUAUAAAUAUGUCCAAAAUGUAUUAUUCAGCAAGCAAGUCUCAUAGUGUUGUUAGUCUAAUUGGGUCCUACUGUAGUAAAAAUGAAAUAAAAUAGCAACAACAAAAUCUCAGCCUGUGCUUAAAAUAUGAUAUACAGAGAAAAAAAUGUCUAGAAAGGUGGAUAUACAUUCACCUGUCACCAAUGGUUCUUUCUGGAGUAAGAAUUUUGGAGAUAUUUUACACUUUCUACAUUUCAGCGGCGC
rnacentral:lncRNA from 1 species